GUCAUUUAGAGGAAGUAUAAGUCGUAACAAGGUUUCCGUAGGUGAACCUGCGGAAGGAUCAUUAUUGAAAUAAACCUGAUGGGUUGUUGCUGGCUCUCUAGGGAGCAUGUGCACGCCUUGUCAUCUUUAUAUCUCCACCUGUGCACCUUUUGUAGACCUUUCGGGGUCUAUGUUGCUUCAUUUUUCCACAAUGUAUGUUAAUAGAAUGUUGUGCCCUGUAUAAUAUAUACAACUUUCAGCAACGGAUCUCUUGGCUCUCGCAUCGAUGAAGAACGCAGCGAAAUGCGAUAAGUAAUGUGAAUUGCAGAAUUCAGUGAAUCAUCGAAUCUUUGAACGCACCUUGCGCUCCUUGGUAUUCCGAGGAGCAUGCCUGUUUGAGUGUCAUUAAUAUACAUAUAUCAAGCCUUCUCUUGUAGAAGGGUUUGGAUGUGGGGGUUUGCUGGCCUCUUAAUCUUAAGAGUUCAGCUCUCCUGAAAUGCAUUAGCAGAACAACCUUAUGUUCAUUGGUGUGAUAACUAUCUACGCUAUUGAAUGUUGAGGGGCAAGUUCAGCUUUCUAACGGUCCUUGGACAAACUCAUCAUUAAUGUGACCUCAAAUCAGGUAGGACUACCCGCUGAACUUAAGCAUAUCAAUAAGCGGAGGAAAAGAAACUAACAAGGAUUCCCCUAGUAACUGCGAGUGAAGCGGGAAAAGCUCAAAUUUAAAAUCUGGCGGUUUUUUUGGCGGUCCGAGUUGUAAUCUAGAGAAGUGUUAUCCGCG
rnacentral:rRNA from 1 species